AUACUUCACCGGGCAGGGGAGGUACCAUGAUCCCGAAGGUGGUUUUCCCAGGGCGAGGCUCACCCACGGCACUCCGGAUGUGCUGACCUCUGUGAUUUCCCCACAUGUGGGAAACUCGACUGCGUGAUUUGUGGUAGUGGAGGGCGCUUUGCUCGUGCUCUCCC